rnacentral:lncRNA from 1 species
GAUUGGUCAUGUUAACCUGUAUUUUUUGUCUCCAUAUCAUGCGGACAGGUUCUAACGUUCCCAUGGACCAGCCCUGCUGUCGUGGUCUCUAUGACUUUGAGCCAGAAAACCAAGGAGAAUUAGGAUUUAAAGAAGGGGACAUCAUUACAUUAACCAAUCAAAUAGAUGAAAACUGGUAUGAAGGAAUGAUACGUGGGGAGUCCGGAUUCUUUCCCAUUAAUUAUGUCGAAGUCAUUGUGCCUUUACCUCAGUAAAUGUGUUACUCAAACUCUGGACAUACUUUCACAACUGAAAUGAAUUCACACCAAUGUUCUCGCAGUGUGGUGUUCUGUGACAUCCUUGCUCUCUGACCAACUUAAUGACUUUUGUAUGUGUGUUCUCUUUAUAAUGUAUUUUGUAUCAAUUUAAUCUGUAUAAAUGAUUUUCUUGACUGAGCUACAUGAAAAUAGUUUUCUUCUUUGUUUACAGUUCUAAAAAGUCAUUGGUUAAAUGUGUGUGCUUCCUGUUGCUGAAAAAAUAAAUUUCACCCAUUGCAGAUAUGUCAACAAGUUGCCUAUAUAUUCCUCAACUGCAAUGGAAAUGCGACAUUUGAAACUAAGAACUGCUAAAUAUUUUGUUUCUUGACAUUACUGAUGGCAUCUGGUCUUUCCCCCUUCAUCACGUUUUAAGCUUACCUAUGACUCUCCCAAUAAACAUGACAUACUGUGUUGGCAAA